CAGAUAUUUCCUUUCCUCUUUCUCUCACUGCUUAUCUCCCACAAGACACAAGAUAGUUCCUGCCCAGGCAUCUCAGAUUACCAUUCCUUCCUGAAAGCCAAUUAAAGGUCUCUAAUCCCUCCUGUGUUUACCUAAAGGAUGAAUUUGAUCGGAAAGGAUGAAUGGAAAGGGCAAAAUCCUAGAAGGGCUGGGAAAGAAAGUUUCUGCUCCAGUGGUGGGAACACACCCUUUCUCACUAAGCUUAUUAUGUACUGGUGCAUUUUUUGAAUUACAAUUCUCCAUCAGCCUGCCCCUUUUAUUUGAAGCCCUCAGUUGUGAUUUCCAAUGCAGCUUCUGACUUUGCCCUUGGUAUUCAUACUUUUGAGAGUCUGUUCCCUUCAUUAACAUCUCAGGGACCCCCAAAGUAAUACUUUGAACCACGUGACAUAUCCGUUUUGUGAGUUGAAAGCAGUUGGAUAUUAACAAUUUCUUAUAAUUCAACUUCAUGUACCCACUCGAGGUCUCUUAUUUGGGACACAUCAUUCUGCCUUAGUCCGAAUUGAAGGCAGCUGAGUACUUCUGGGAACGGCAGAUCAUCUUCUUUCAAGACUACCUAGAGUUUGCCACUUUUUGGCUGGGAUCCUUGUAUAAAAAUCUGAAAAAUCUCAAAAGUACAAUGAAUAAUGAUGCAUGUUCAUACACUCACCAAUCAGAAUUGAAGAUUGUUAAAAUUUUCACCAAUUGAAAUAAAAGAAGUAAAGGAUUACGGCGAAUGAUAAAGUCCUCCACUGGCAGUAUUGUUCUUGCUCCAAACCCAGAGGCCACAGACAAAACCACAGUUCAUUUGGUGGCUGAAGCUUACUGAAAACUUCCUUUCGUCUUGAUGCAGCCAGCUUUUUGGAUUACAUGGCAAGGGUGGCCUGAGCAAAGCGAUGGGAAAGAGUUGUUGGUGGAACAGUUUGUCCUGAGAGUCCUCCCUGCAUGCACAAGAAUCCCCAUCACAGGCUCUCCACUGGGAAACCCCAUCUGGGACAAAGGGAAAGAGCUUGGUGCAAUGGAAGGAUAGCAAGGGGACCAGCAUGGCUAAAGCCCAAACUUAAAACAAAUCUUUUGUAGAGUCAGGAUCUCCUAUGUUGCCCAGGCUGACCUCAAACUCCUGGGCUCAAGAACUUCUUCUGCCUCAGCGCCCCCAAAGUGCCAGGAUUACAAGUUGCAAUUUUCAAGAGGACCAAGAGGCAAACAUACAGUGCUGAGCACAGAAGUGCAGCUUGGCUGCUUUGGAUCAGGAUCUGGCUUUGUUCCCUGUCUCACACUUUUUCUCCAGCCAGCGAUGACACAAGCGACAUCUUGGAAGAGGCAAAACUUGAGACAGGUCUUCAAGGAUUGGUGCCAUCUGGACAGGUUGAAGAGGAGUAGGAGGGCUUUCGGAUGUGGAGAAUGGCAUGCACAAAAGCACGGAGCAACACUUUAUGCCAGUUGGAUUAUGGUCCAUUGGGAGAAAGAUCAAUUAAGGUGAAACCCCAGUAGAGAAAGCACUGGAGAACAACAUUCAUUCUUCCUUAAUAAAUCUUAGUUUUAAAUAUUUGCUUUGAGUUUUGUUCCAUUAAUAAAGAAAAUAAGAAGGAAAACCAACCAAUAUUUUGUUUUUCCAUAUGCCGUAGUGGAAUCCUGAAGUUGUUGAAUUGAAUUAAUGCUUGAUUCAAUGUGAGGAAUGGACAAAAGACAUGCAGAGAUUCAAGUUCCCUCCGUAAUCUGGUAUUUAUUCAUCAAUCCAUCCAUCCAUCUAUCUAUUCAUCCAUCCAUCCACCCACUCACCCACUCAUCCGGCCAUUCACCCACCCACCUAUCCUCUUACCAUUAGGAAAUUCUUUUAUGUUAAGUGCUAUAAGAGCCAAUUCCUCUUUUUCAGUAAAUGGAGAAGAACAAUUUGUAUUAUAAGAAUUAGUGUGGGUUAGAUUAUUUAUAUCAUCUUUCCCUGGUGAGGGUUCAUGUCUAGGUGUUUCAGACUAGCAUUUUUCCUUGGGUAAUUUCCACUUUCCCUUUGUAAGCUGAUACUUUUACUACAUGUAAGGUCAUAAACUGUUGUUUUGUAAAAAAUAUUUUGACAUGGAUGAACAAUUUGGAGUGUAGAUAUGAAGACAUAAAAGAUAACUUGAAAAAAUCAGACUGAUUCUAACAUUUAUGUAGAGAGGUAAAUAAUCAAGAAUAAUUAGUAACAUUCUGAAAAAGAAGGGUAGCAAGAAGUGACUAUCCUAUUAUUAAAUCUUAUAAAAACUCAUUAAGACAGCAUGGUAUUGGCAUAAGAAUAAAAAGACAUCAUUGGAACAGAAUUGAAAGUUUAGAAAUAGACCUAAAUACAUACAAUAGUUUAAUAUAAGGCAAAGUUUACAUCUAAAAUCAGUAAAGAAAGAUUAAUCAGGGAAUGAGGACAACUAAGUCACACAUCACACCCUACAGUAUAAGUUCCAAAUGAAGAAAAUAUUUAAUGUUAAAAAGGAAAUACUGAAAAUACAAACACGUACAAAAAUUAUUUUAUAAUUACAGAGGAGGGAAAGGCCAUAAGUCAUAAAAUGAAAGAUUGAUUAAAAAUAAAGUACUUGCACCUGGUGAAAAACACCAACAUCAAAGUUCAAAGAUAAAUGACAAGCCAGGAAAAAUAUUUGCAAUUCUGUCAAAGUGUGAAUUUCUCUACUCUUAAAGGAGGCAUACAAACUGAUAAGAAAAAGACCAAUAUCAAACAAAUAGCAGAAAAAGAAUAGAAUAGUCAUGUUUAUACAAAGGGAAAUUUACAAAGAAAGAUCAUUUACAUUGCUUUAAAAAAGAGAAAUGCAAAGCAAAGCAUAACUGAGAUACAAUUUCACCUGUCAAAUUGGCAAAGAUUCAAAAGUUUGGUAAUACCUGGUAUUGGCCACAGUAUUGGCACAAACAGGCUUUCAAAUACAAAUAGUGGGGAUGUAAAUGGCAGAAGUUGGCAAACGAUGGCUUGUGAGCUCAAUUCAGCCUGCUGCUUGCUUUUGUACUGCCCAAGACCUAAGAACCAUUUUUAAGUAGUUGAAAAAAAUCAAAAUAAUAUUGUAUCGUAUCGUAUUGUAUUGUAUUUUACUGUACUGUAUUGUAUUGUAUAUUGAACAUUUGCUAAGAAUAGAUUUUAGGUGCUCUUAUUACACACACACACAAGGUAGCUAUGGAAGGUGAUGCAUAGGUUAAUUUGCUUGAACAUGUUAAUCAUUUCACUAUACAUAUGUGUAUGAAAACAAUCAUGUUGUAUACUGUAAGUAUAUAUCAAUAAAAUAAAACAUUUUGUGACACAUGAA
rnacentral:lncRNA from 10 species